AGCUUUGCGCAGUGGCAGUAUCGUAAACGAUCGAGGUUUAUCCGAGUUGCGAUUAUUGCUAAUUGAAAACUAUACCCAAUACCCCGCCAUGCGGACGUGAAAUACCGUUCACAUAGGCAAUUUCUGAAGGAUACUACGGUUU
rnacentral:snRNA from 1 species